UGAGUACGAGAUGCUACGGCAUCGAAGCAGUCUAUGUCAUACUUCCAAGAAAAGCUUGCACUGUCAGAAACAGAUAAUGCCUGUACCAUAACCGACACAGGUGGGUAGGUAGAGUAUACUAAGGGGCGCGAGAUAACUCUCUCUAAGGAACUCGGCAAAAUGACUCCGUAACUUCGGGAGAAGGAGUGCCUUAUUUUUAAGGUUGCAAUAACAAGAUCCAAGCAACUGUUUACCAAAAACACAGGUCUCCGCUAAGUCGUAAGACGAUGUAUGGGGGCUGACGCCUGCCCAGUGCCAGAAGGUUAAAGAAGUCGGUUAGCAUUCGCGAAGCUGGUAACUGAAGCCCUGGUGAACGGCGGCCGUAACGAUAACGGUCCUAAGGUAGCGAAAUUCCUUGUCGGGUAAGUUCCGACCCGCACGAAAGGCGUAAUGAUUUGGAUACUGUCUCGGAGAGGGGCUCGGUGAAAUAGACUUGUCUGUGAAGAUGCGGACUACCUGCACCUGGACAGAAAGACCCUAUGAAGCUUUACUGUAACUUGAAAUUGAAAUUGGACUUUAUUUGCGCAGUAUAGGUGGGAGGCGUUGAAAAUAUUCUUGCGGGAAUAUUGGAGCCAUCAGUGAGAUACCACUCUUGUAAUGUUAGAUUUCUAACUUUAUAUCAUUAUCUGGUUAAAGAACAGUUUCAGGCGGGCAGUUUGACUGGGGCGGUCGCCUCCCAAAUGGUAACGGAGGCGCACAAAGGUUUCCUCUGAACGGGUAGAAAUCGUAUCUAGAGUGUAAAGGCAUAAGGAAGCUUGACUGUGAGACCUACAAGUCGAGCAGGGACGAAAGUCGGUCUUAGUGAUCUGACGGUGCUGAGUGGAAAGGCCGUCACUCAACGGAUAAAAGUUACUCUAGGAUAACAGGCUGAUCUCCCCCAAGAGUUCACAUCGACGGGGAGGUUUGGCACCUCGAUGUCGGCUCAUCGCAUCCUGGGGCGGUAGUACGUCCCAAGGGUUGGGCUGUUCGCCCAUGAAAGCGGUACGCGAGCUGGGUUCAGAACGUCGUGAGACAGUUCGGUCCAUAUCCGGUGUAGGCGUUAGAAUAUUGAGAGGAGCCUUCUUUAGUACGAGAGGACCGAGAAGGACAUACCUCUGGUGUACCAGUUAUCGUGCCAACGGUAAACGCUGGGUAGCUAUGUAUGGAGUGGAUAACCGCUGAAAGCAUCUAAGUGGGAAGCC
rnacentral:rRNA from 1 species